rnacentral:rRNA from 1 species
AGCGUACACGGUGGAUGCCCUGGCAGUCAGAGGCGAUGAAGGACGUGCUAAUCUGCGAUAAGCGUCGGUAAGGUGAUAUGAACCGUUAUAACCGGCGAUUUCCGAAUGGGGAAACCCAGUGUGAUUCGUCACACUAUCAUUAACUGAAUCCAUAGGUUAAUGAGGCGAACCGGGGGAACUGAAACAUCUAAGUACCCCGAGGAAAAGAAAUCAACCGAGAUUCCCCCAGUAGCGGCGAGCGAACGGGGAGCAGCCCAGAGCCUGAAUCAGUGUGUGUGUUAGUGGAAGCGUCUGGAAAGGCGCGCGAUACAGGGUGACAGCCCCGUACACAAAAAUGCACAUACUGUGAGCUCGAUGAGUAGGGCGGGACACGUGGUAUCCUGUCUGAAUAUGGGGGGACCAUCCUCCAAGGCUAAAUACUCCUGACUGACCGAUAGUGAACCAGUACCGUGAGGGAAAGGCGAAAAGAACCCCGGCGAGGGGAGUGAAAAAGAACCUGAAACCGUGUACGUACAAGCAGUGGGAGCCUCUUUAUGGGGUGACUGCGUACCUUUUGUAUAAUGGGUCAGCGACUUAUAUUCUGUAGCAAGGUUAACCGAAUAGGGGAGCCGAAGGGAAACCGAGUCUUAACUGGGCGUUAAGUUGCAGGGUAUAGACCCGAAACCCGGUGAUCUAGCCAUGGGCAGGUUGAAGGUUGGGUAACACUAACUGGAGGACCGAACCGACUAAUGUUGAAAAAUUAGCGGAUGACUUGUGGCUGGGGGUGAAAGGCCAAUCAAACCGGGAGAUAGCUGGUUCUCCCCGAAAGCUAUUUAGGUAGCGCCUCGUGAAUUCAUCUCCGGGGGUAGAGCACUGUUUCGGCAAGGGGGUCAUCCCGACUUACCAACCCGAUGCAAACUGCGAAUACCGGAGAAUGUUAUCACGGGAGACACACGGCGGGUGCUAACGUCCGUCGUGAAGAGGGAAACAACCCAGACCGCCAGCUAAGGUCCCAAAGUCAUGGUUAAGUGGGAAACGAUGUGGGAAGGCCCAGACAGCCAGGAUGUUGGCUUAGAAGCAGCCAUCAUUUAAAGAAAGCGUAAUAGCUCACUGGUCGAGUCGGCCUGCGCGGAAGAUGUAACGGGGCUAAACCAUGCACCGAAGCUGCGGCAGCGACACUAUGUGUUGUUGGGUAGGGGAGCGUUCUGUAAGCCUGUGAAGGUGUGCUGUGAGGUAUGCUGGAGGUAUCAGAAGUGCGAAUGCUGACAUAAGUAACGAUAAAGCGGGUGAAAAGCCCGCUCGCCGGAAGACCAAGGGUUCCUGUCCAACGUUAAUCGGGGCAGGGUGAGUCGACCCCUAAGGCGAGGCCGAAAGGCGUAGUCGAUGGGAAACAGGUUAAUAUUCCUGUACUUGGUGUUACUGCGAAGGGGGGACGGAGAAGGCUAUGUUGGCCGGGCGACGGUUGUCCCGGUUUAAGCGUGUAGGCUGGUUUUCCAGGCAAAUCCGGAAAAUCAAGGCUGAGGCGUGAUGACGAGGCACUACGGUGCUGAAGCAACAAAUGCCCUGCUUCCAGGAAAAGCCUCUAAGCAUCAGGUAACAUCAAAUCGUACCCCAAACCGACACAGGUGGUCAGGUAGAGAAUACCAAGGCGCUUGAGAGAACUCGGGUGAAGGAACUAGGCAAAAUGGUGCCGUAACUUCGGGAGAAGGCACGCUGAUAUGUAGGUGAAGUCCCUUGCGGAUGGAGCUGAAAUCAGUCGAAGAUACCAGCUGGCUGCAACUGUUUAUUAAAAACACAGCACUGUGCAAACACGAAAGUGGACGUAUACGGUGUGACGCCUGCCCGGUGCCGGAAGGUUAAUUGAUGGGGUUAGCGGUAACGCGAAGCUCUUGAUCGAAGCCCCGGUAAACGGCGGCCGUAACUAUAACGGUCCUAAGGUAGCGAAAUUCCUUGUCGGGUAAGUUCCGACCUGCACGAAUGGCGUAAUGAUGGCCAGGCUGUCUCCACCCGAGACUCAGUGAAAUUGAACUCGCUGUGAAGAUGCAGUGUACCCGCGGCAAGACGGAAAGACCCCGUGAACCUUUACUAUAGCUUGACACUGAACAUUGAGCCUUGAUGUGUAGGAUAGGUGGGAGGCUUUGAAGUGUGGACGCCAGUCUGCAUGGAGCCGACCUUGAAAUACCACCCUUUAAUGUUUGAUGUUCUAACGUUGGCCCCUGAUCGGGGUUGCGGACAGUGUCUGGUGGGUAGUUUGACUGGGGCGGUCUCCUCCUAAAGAGUAACGGAGGAGCACGAAGGUUGGCUAAUCCUGGUCGGACAUCAGGAGGUUAGUGCAAUGGCAUAAGCCAGCUUGACUGCGAGCGUGACGGCGCGAGCAGGUGCGAAAGCAGGUCAUAGUGAUCCGGUGGUUCUGAAUGGAAGGGCCAUCGCUCAACGGAUAAAAGGUACUCCGGGGAUAACAGGCUGAUACCGCCCAAGAGUUCAUAUCGACGGCGGUGUUUGGCACCUCGAUGUCGGCUCAUCACAUCCUGGGGCUGAAGUAGGUCCCAAGGGUAUGGCUGUUCGCCAUUUAAAGUGGUACGCGAGCUGGGUUUAGAACGUCGUGAGACAGUUCGGUCCCUAUCUGCCGUGGGCGCUGGAGAACUGAGGGGGGCUGCUCCUAGUACGAGAGGACCGGAGUGGACGCAUCACUGGUGUUCGGGUUGUCAUGCCAAUGGCACUGCCCGGUAGCUAAAUGCGGAAGAGAUAAGUGCUGAAAGCAUCUAAGCACGAAACUUGCCCCGAGAUGAGUUCU